rnacentral:rRNA from 1 species
AGCGAACGCUGGCGGCAGGCCUAACACAUGCAAGUCGAACGAACUCUUCGGAGUUAGUGGCGGACGGGUGAGUAACACGUGGGAACGUGCCUUUUGGUUCGGAAUAACUCAGUGAAACUUUUGCUAAUACCGAAUGUGCCCUUCGGGGGAAGGAUUUAUCGCCAUUAGAGCGGCCCGCGUCUGAUUAGCUAGUUGGUGAGGUAACGGCUCACCAAGGCGACGAUCAGUAGCUGGUCUGAGAGGAUGACCAGCCACACUGGGACUGAGAAACGGCCCAGACUCCUACGGGAGGCAGCAGUGGGGAAUCUUGCGCAAUGGGCGAAGGACUGACGCAGCCAUGCCGCGUGAAUGAUGAAGGUCUUAGGAUUGGAAAAUUCUUUCACCGGGGACGAUAAUGUCGGUACCCGGAGAAGAAGCCCCGGCUAACUUCGUG